AAAGUGUGGCCUUAAAUUCAUGCUGAUUGAACUAUUAGAUUUUUAUCCUGGAAAUUCCAAAGGUCAUAUUCAUUCCCACUAUAUUUUAGCAAUAUUAUCUGUUCUAUUUGAACCACUUAUGUAAGUUCUCCUCAGAAAACAUGGGUUUCCAUCAGAACAUGAUAUUCUGUUUUCAUGUCAUUGACCUUUUUGAAAUUCUUUUCUUGAUUGUUAUAUAAUUUGUCUAUUGUAGGUCAACGUUCCAAAGACCAAGAAGACCUACUGCAAAUCCAAGUAGUGUCGGAAGGGGAAGGAUAGUUUGGCUGCCCAAGGAAAACGCCGUUAUGAUCGAAAACAGUCCGGAUAUGGUGGGCAGACAAAUCCAGUUUUCCACAAAAAGACCACCAAGAAGAUUGUGCUAAGGCUGCAGUGCCAAGGGUGCAAACAUGUGUCACAGCACCCAAUCAAGAGGUGCAAACAUUUUGAGAUUGGUGGAGAUAAGAAGGGAGAGGGCACUUCUCUAUUAAUUUUGAGAUGCGGCAUCUCUGUUGAUCAUUCAAUUGGAAUGGAUGUCUCUGUUUUAGUCAAUUGUUUUAUAGAUUGAAGUUGUUUUGGCAAGAUGAUAGAAUGUUCUCUCACCUGGCAAUUUAUAAUUCCAAGUUUUUGCUUUUGGUUCGAAUUCUCGCUUAAGGAUCGGUUAAGUAGGAUAUCUAGCCUAAUAUUUUGCCAUAUUAUUUCUUGUGCUUGGAUUUUAUUGGCACCUAACUUUGGUUGUUUAAUUGUAGGAUGGAAUA